CCCCCUUGCAUCACCGUGUGUCAUUAAAGCGAGAAGUUGAUUACUUAGUAUGAAGGUGUUUAUUUCAAGAUAAUCUUGGUGUGAUCAUGAAACCGAGAAGUUGAUUCAAUGCAGAUAUGGUGGUCGUAGAUGGACAAGCCUGGUGGAGUGCCAGUGAGAAGCAACGUCUUAGAAAGAGACGUUUGAGAAGCAUGUGGUUACUCA